rnacentral:tRNA from 1 species
UAGGCCUUAGUUUAGUAAAAAUCCUCACUUUCCAAGUGAGAGACCCCCUGCAAUUAUGUGGGGGAGGUCUAA